UUGUACUACUCACUGAAAAUGCGAUAACUAUUACUAAAGUGCGCCAUUCUUUUAAAACAACUCGCAUAAACUUAUUGUCUCACGUUUUCGAGUAAUUAAUAAAAGCAGUGUUUCACGUUUUGCGCGAACUCAUUAUAAACAUUUAUAUUUCGUCAUAAAAUGUCACGUACUGCGAGUCGUAUUUACGUUGGAAAUUUACCCCCGGACAUACGAACAAAGGAUGUCCAGGAUUUAUUUCAUAAAUUUGGCAAAGUAGCGUUUGUCGACUUGAAGAAUAGGCGUGGUCCUCCAUUCGCAUUUGUCGAAUUUGAAGAUCCCCGGGAUGCAGAAGAUGCAGUGAAAGCUCGAGAUGGAUAUGAUUAUGACGGCUAUAAACUGCGUGUUGAAUUUCCAAGAGGUGGUGGACCAGGCAGUUUCAGAGGUAAUCGUAAUGAUCGAAACCGAAACGAUGGUGGUCGUGGAGGAGGCGGUGGUGGUCGCGGUCCACCCACCAAACGGUCGCAAUACCGAGUAAUGGUAACAGGAUUGCCAUCGUCCGGUUCCUGGCAGGAUUUGAAGGAUCAUAUGCGUGAAGCUGGCGAUGUUUGCUUUGCGGAUGCUUAUAAGGACGGUACUGGCGUUGUUGAGUUUUUGAGGCAAGAAGAUAUGAAAUAUGCCAUCAAAAAAUUAGAUGAUUCUCGUUUUAGAUCUCAUGAAGGAGAAGUCUCAUACAUACGAGUGCGAGAAGAUUCCGGAGAUGGAGACCGUGGUAGUCGUGACCGCCGGGGUGAUAGAUCCCGAUCUUUUUCACCACGUGGUCGUCGUCGCGGAUCUCCUACAUAUUCCCCAGUUCGGCGAUCAUAUUCCAGGUCAAGGUCGCGUUCUCGAUCAAACUUCUAGUUUUAAAAAAGAAAAAAGAGCUAUUAAUAAAAAAAAUCACAUCGCAACAUUACCAUGUGUCGAGCGCAUAUAUCAAGGAUUUUUUUUUUAUCGCAACGUCUCAUGUCAGAUGAUUUAGAACUCCACUUUCGGAAAGCUUUAAAAUCUUUGCAAAUUGGAGUGUAAUCUUCAGGGAAUACACAUAUUUUAAGGCAAGCGUUUUUUUUUUUGCCAAAACAUUUCAUUUGAAAUAAUUGAUUUAAAAAGUUUACAGCUAUUGAAUAAUUUGCGACUGCUCUUAGUACAAUAUUCAAAGAAUAAGAAGCUUCAAAUAUUAAAUUAUGCAUCUCCCAUAAAAUAACUAAUUUGCGCAUAUUUCAUAUGAAAAUAAAUUCCAUUUUUUUAUAUUAAUAAAAUAUUUUAAUUUUCUUUCCGCUCUAUUCACGGAAAUUGGAAUGGAUGGAAUGGAAUGGAGUUAUUAAGGAUUUCGAUGGAUUCAGAAUAUUUGGAUUAAUAAUGGAAAUUUAAAAACGGAUUACAAUAAGUUAUAAACAGACGAUGAUAAUCAUUAAAAAAGACUUCAGUUAGCCAAAUAUGCAAAGGAAAAAAAAUAUGACAGGGAUUCUAAUUUACGUGAAUAUAUAUAUGAGAAUAAUAGGCGAAACCUAAUUCUCUGAAACAAAUGGAAGCGUUGAUUGGCACAGAAUUUGUUAAUCAUACAUUUGGAAUAGGAUUAAUUUGCGACUUCACUUAUUUUUCGAUUCCUGCGUACUUUUUUCUUUUGUUAUGGACUUUCAAAAAAACUGUCUGCGGCACAUUAUUAAGUUAAUUAGUUAUUACCAGAUUUCAAGGAUUACAGACUUGUGGAUCAUAUCGGUAAAUAUUGACAUUGAUUGCAAAGCCUUACACAUCCUUCAUUAACAGUACUGAUUAACACUUUAAUGAAAUUCCUAAGAGUGUAUCUAAAAAUUUCCAAUAAAGCAAAUAAUCUGAAAGAUUGCAUAAUUGAAA
rnacentral:misc_RNA from 1 species